rnacentral:rRNA from 1 species
AACGAACGCUGGCGGCAGGCCUAACACGUGCAAGUCGAACGCCCUAGCAAUAGGGAGUGGCAGACGGGUGAGUAACACGUGGGAACCUUCCCUAUAGUACGGAAUAGCCCAGGGAAACUUGGAGUAAUACCGUAUACGCCCGAGAGGGGAAAGAUUUAUCGCUAUAGGAUGGGCCCGCGUCGGAUUAGCUAGUUGGUGAGGUAACGGCUCACCAAGGCAACGAUCCGUAGCUGGUUUGAGAGAAUGACCAGCCACACUGGGACUGAGACACGGCCCAGACUCCUACGGGAGGCAGCAGUGGGGAAUCUUGGACAAUGGGCGCAAGCUUGAUCCAGCCAUGCCGCGUGAGUGGUGAAGGCCCUAGGGUUGUAAAGCUCUUUUGUCGGGGACGAUAAUGACGGCACCCGAAGAAUAAGCUCCGGCUAACUUCGUGCCAGCCGCCGCAGUAA